AUUGAACGCUGGCGGCAGGCUUAACACAUGCAAGUCGAACGAGCGGCGGACGGGUGAGUAAUAUCUGGGAAACUGCCGGAUGGAGGGGGAUAACUACUGGAAAGGGUAGCUAAUACCGCAUACCAUCAGAUGUGCCAAGAGGGGAGUAGCGAGUAGGUGGGGUAAGGGCUCACCUAGGCGACGAUCCCUAGCUGGUCUGAGAGGAUGACCAGCCACACUGGGACUGAGACACUGUCCAGACUCCUACGGGAGGCAGCAGUGUGGAAUAUGGGACAAUUGGCGCAAGCCUGAUGCAGCCAUGCCGCGUGUCUGAAGAAGGCCUUCGGGUUGUAAAGCACUUUCAGCUAUGAGGCGUUACUCGCAGAAUAAGCACCGGCUAACUCCGUGCCAGCCGCCGCGGUAAUUC
rnacentral:rRNA from 1 species